AAUAUUGGACAAAGGGGGCAACCCUGAUCCAGCCAUGCCGCGUGUGUGAGGAGGGUCUUCGGAGUGUAAAGCACUCUAAUUUGGGAGGAAGGGCUUUAGGUGAAUACCCUGAAGUUAGGACGUUACCAACAGAAUACGCACCGGCUAACCCUGUGCCAGCAGCCGCGGUAAUACGGAGUGUGCAAGCGUUAAUCGGAAUUACUGGGCGUAAAGCGCGCGUAGGUGGUUCAGUAAGAUGGGUGUGAAAUCCCCGGGCUUACCCUGGGAACUGCUUUCAUAACUGCUGAGCUAGAGUACGGUAGAGGGUAGUGGAAUUUCCUGUGUAGCGGUGAAAUGCGUAGAUAUAGGAAGGAACACCAGUGGCGAAGGCGACUACCUGGACUGAUACUGACACUGAGGUGCGAAAGCGUGGGGAGCAAAC
rnacentral:rRNA from 1 species